CCCUUAGAUGUCCUGGGCCGCACGCGCGCUACACUGACAUGUUCAACAAGCCUCCUAGUUCGACAGGAUUUGGGAAAUCUUUGAACGCAUGUCGUGAUAGGGAUAGAUCAUUGCAAUUAUUGAUCUUGAACGAGGAAUUCCUAGUAAACGCGAGUCAUCAGCUCGCAUUGAUUACGUCCCUGCCCUUUGUACACACCGCCCGUCGCACCUACCGAUUGAAUGUUUCGGUGGAGAUUCCGGAUAGGACUUUUUUGAUUUAUUUCAAUUUUGUCUUAAAAGCUAUCUAAACCUCAACAUUUAGAGGAAGGUGAAGUCGUAACA
rnacentral:rRNA from 1 species